UGCGGAUUAGUUCGAUGCAACGCGAAGNANCCUUACCAAGGGUUGACAUANACGAGAACGCUGCAGAAAUGUAGAACUCUUUGGACACUCGUAAACAGGUGGUGCAUGGUUGUCGUCAGCUCGUGUCGUGAGAUGUUGGGUUAAGUCCCGCAACGAGCGCAACCCUCGUUCUAUGUUGCCAGCACGUAAUGGUGGGAACUCAUGGGAUACUGCCGGGGUCAACUCGGAGGAAGGUGGGGAUGACGUCAAAUCAUCAUGCCCCUUAUGUCUUGGGCUUCACGCAUGCUACAAUGGNCGGUACAAAGGGNUG
rnacentral:rRNA from 1 species